rnacentral:rRNA from 1 species
AGUGAACGCUGGCGGUAGGCCUAACACAUGCAAGUCGAACGGCAGCACAGUAAGAGCUUGCUCUUACGGGUGGCGAGUGGCGGACGGGUGAGGAAUACAUCGGAAUCUACUUUUUCGUGGGGGAUAACGUAGGGAAACUUACGCUAAUACCGCAUACGACCUACGGGUGAAAGCAGGGGAUCUUCGGACCUUGCGCGAUUGAAUGAGCCGAUGUCGGAUUAGCUAGUUGGCGGGGUAAAGGCCCACCAAGGCGACGAUCCGUAGCUGGUCUGAGAGGAUGAUCAGCCACACUGGAACUGAGACACGGUCCAGACUCCUACGGGAGGCAGCAGUGGGGAAUAUUGGACAAUGGGCGCAAGCCUGAUCCAGCCAUACCGCGUGGGUGAAGAAGGCCUUCGGGUUGUAAAGCCCUUUUGUUGGGAAAGAAAAGCAGCAGGUUAAUACCCCGCCGUUCUGACGGUACCCAAAGAAUAAGCACCGGCUAACUCCGUG